rnacentral:sRNA from 1 species
GAGAAGGGCCGUGGUCACAGGCCGAGGUUCUGUGGAGGGUGGAAUGCGCUCGGGGGAGCGAGGCUUCCGCACCCGCCUUCGCCGCGUCUCUAGCGUCGACCUGAUAGCCGCACCCACCCUCCGCUGCACUGUCUGGGGCAACUGGGUGGUUUUCCCGGUGGUUUGAGACUAACAUUUAGCCAGGAAUUAACUCACUUCUACCCCGAGGGCCCGAUGAGCAGAGAGGGCUAUGGCGGAUGCCAGGGCAGUCUAAAAUGUAACCAACCUGAGAGACUGGUUCAGGCCAUGACAGGAAGCAGGACAUGAGACAUGCCUCAUUACAUCCUUCAGCAUUGACAUCAACACAACAGACCUUAAGACUGCAGGAAAUCCAAAUCUCCUCCCAAAGUGCCCAUUGUGAUUCAGGACGAUAGCCUUCCCGCGGGGCCCCCUCCACAGAUCCGCAUCCUCAAGAGGCCCACCAGCAACGGUGUGGUCAGCAGCCCCAACU